UACUAGAGUAGCACUCGCAUAUCAAUAAGCGGAGGAAAAGAAACUAACUAGGAUUCCCUCAGUAACGGCGAGUGAAGCGGGAAGAGCUCAAAUUUGAAAUCUUCAAGGUUCUACCUUGACGAAUUGUAGUUUAAAGAAGUGUUUUCUGUUGAAGUUUUGGUAAAAGUUCUUUGGAAUAGGACAUCAUAGAGGGUGAGAAUCCCGUAUUUGACCAUUACUUUUCCAGCUGUGUGAUACACUUUCAAAGAGUCGGAUUGUUUGGGAAUGCAGUCCAAAAUGGGUGGUAAAUUUCAUCUAAAGCUAAAUAUUGGCGAGAGACCGAUAGCGAACAAGUACCGUGAGGGAAAGAUGAAAUGAACUUUGAAAAGAGAGUUAAACAGUACGUGAAAUUGUCAAAAGGGAAGCGUUUGACACCAGUGUUGUUUUCUCGAAAAUCAAUUAAAAAUGGCUUGAUUUUGUGUUGUAUUGACCUUAAAAGCUUUCUGCACUUUUUUCAUGUCUUUUUUAAUGCACUUUUCGUUUAACAAGUCAACAUCAGUUUCUUUUGUUGUAAAAAGGUCAUUGGAAGGUGGCUUUCUUUUCGGAGAAAGUGUUUAUAGCCUUUGACUCCUGCAAUCGGAGAGACUGAGGUCUGCAGCGUAGAUCCUUCUUUGGAUUAGAUUCAUUUGUGCUAAGUUAUAGCUUUUUAUAGACAACUUGUUGACUAUAUUUAGUCUUGUAGCUUACUCGCUUAUGCAAUUUUACCUACGCUUAGGAUGUUGAAGAUGUAGCACAUCAU
rnacentral:rRNA from 1 species